rnacentral:rRNA from 1 species
UACGUAGGGUCCGAGCGUUGUCCGGAAUUAUUGGGCGUAAAGAGCUCGUAGGCGGUCUGUCGCGUCGGCUGUGAAAACACGGGGCUCAACUCCGUGCCUGCAGUCGAUACGGGCAGACUAGAGUUCGGUAGGGGAGACUGGAAUUCCUGGUGUAGCGGUGAAAUGCGCAGAUAUCAGGAGGAACACCAAUGGCGAAGGCAGCACUCUGGGACGUGACUGACGCUGAGACGCGAAAGCGUGGGGAGCAAACAGG